GCUACACAUGCAGUCGAGCGGUAACAGAAGUAGCUUGCUACUUUGCUGACGAGCGGCGGACGGGUGAGUAAUGCUUGGGAACAUGCCUUGAGGUGGGGGACAACAGUUGGAAACGACUGCUAAUACCGCAUAAUGUCUACGGACCAAAGGGGGCUUCGGCUCUCGCCUUUAGAUUGGCCCANGUGGGAUUAGCUAGUUGGUGAGGUAAUGGCUCACCAAGGCAACGAUCCCUAGCUGGUUUGAGAGGAUGAUCAGCCACACUGGAACUGAGACACGGUCCAGACUCCUACGGGAGGCAGCAGUGGGGAAUAUUGCACAAUGGGCGCAAGCCUGAUGCAGCCAUGCCGCGUGUGUGAAGAAGGCCUUCGGGUUGUAAAGCACUUUCAGUCAGGAGGAAAGAUUAGUAGUUAAUACCUGCUAGUUGUGACGUUACUGACAGAAGA
rnacentral:rRNA from 1 species